rnacentral:snRNA from 1 species
AGCUGUGAAGCUCUCUGACUAUGACAGCCGCCACCCCACUGAUCACCAAGUUGAUUUGGCAGAUCUGGUGGGUAGGCAGGUGUCUCCUUCCUGCCCCACUUCUCCAUGUAUCUCCCUCCUAAAGCUGCUUGUUCCAGUUAAAGACGUCAGCCUUCCUCACUAGAAACGCGGUGUUCUUCAGUCAGUGUUAUAGAGGCAGCUGCGCUCAUCUGCUGAAGCCUCCCAAGCAGUGCUGAAGGCCAAUGGCUAUGGGAGCCCACAUGUGACUCAGUUUCCAUCUGGAGUCCAUUCUGACUUAUAAGUCUUUGGAGUUCA